UUUUUUACGAUACCUUCAACUUCGGGACUUUGCCCAGAACCCGGUGGUAAAAACAACUGCACUGACCCCACCCACGUUUUUCGAAAGGAUGUACAUGAAAGAACAAAUUCCAAAAGGCCUAAUUACGUAUCUGUGUGCACACCUAAGCACGAACACAUCUGAAUGGGGGGAACUCACUUAUAUUGCCCAAUGGGAGGCGGACCUGAAUGAGGAGUUGGAAGGCGUUGAGUGGCAGGAGAUCUGGG